AUUGAACGCUGGCGGCAUGCUCUACACAUGCAAGUCGAACGGUAACAGGUUAAGCUGACGAGUGGCGAACGGGUGAGUAAUGCAUCGGAACGUGCCCGGUCGUGGGGGAUAACGCAGCGAAAGCUGCGCUAAUACCGCAUACGAUCUGAGGAUGAAAGCGGGGGACCGUAAGGCCUCGCGCGAUCGGAGCGGCCGAUGUCAGAUUAGGUAGUUGGUGGGGUAAAGGCUCACCAAGCCAACGAUCUGUAGCUGGUCUGAGAGGACGACCAGCCACACCGGGACUGAGACACGGCCCAGACUCCUACGGGAGGCAGCAGUGGGGAAUUUUGGACAAUGGGCGAAAGCCUGAUCCAGCAAUGCCGCGUGCAGGAAGAAGGCCUUCGGGUUGUAAACUGCUUUUGUACGGAGCGAAAAGGUCUCCUCUAAUACAGGGGGCUCAUGACGGUACCGUAAGAAUAAGCACCGGCUAACUACGUGCCAGCAGCCGCGGUAA
rnacentral:rRNA from 1 species